GGUGCUUAGCUCAGUUGGUUAGAGCGUGGUGCUAAUAACGCCAAGGUCGCGAGUUCGACCCUCGUAGUGACCA
rnacentral:tRNA from 1 species